ensembl:lncRNA
CGCCUGUGUUUCCAGGGGAAACCUAAUGACGCAAUGACGUCAAUGCAGGUCAACAGCAGACUGGAGGAAUUGAGCGCUUCCAUUAGAUUUUGCAGUAUUUUCCAGAAACGCGGAAAGGACAAAAUGGAUUAGUUUAAAAUGUACCAAAACACCAGUAUGUGUUUCUCACAUAUCCAUUUGAGAGGAGCACAUUUGCAUUUUAUGGAAUUAUUAUAAAACCAAAAGGAAAAAAAAGAUCUCGUCUUGCUUGAAGCAUCGCUCACACGACAGACAGUCUGAUGCAUGUUCUGUCUUCAUCUGUGGACUCAACACAUGGAGAAAACACCCUGUUUCAGAUGGUCUCUAUGGAGCGGAUUACAAGCACCUGUGUCUGUAUCGCUGUGACGAAAACCCCUUCUUUCCCCAUCUCUUCCACAAACUGUGGGUGUGUGCAGCACAGGGCGUUCACCGCGGCGGGUGGGUUUCAGCACAGUGGACAGCAGCCCGUUCAGCACAAUGGACAGCACCCGUUUAAUUAACACGCCUUCUUCAAUCAACCCGAAUGCACCACAUCGGCGCUUCCAGUACGUUUGUCUAUGCGUUUCUCCAUGCGCACCUAUGUAGUGUUUUAUCUCCCAGUGAUGGUCAUUUACACACAAGACACGAUAUAUAUGAACAUGGAGACAAAUACGGGCUAAAAUAAUUGUACUUCUUAGAUAAAGGCCGAUUAGAUACUUAGAUGGAGACAAAAACCCGCUAAAGUCGUCAAUCAGGGAGGAGAGCGCGCAUGGGAGGGCGACACUUUCAUACAUAUGACGCAUUUAGUGAGGUAAACCUAACGGAUGCCUACGUCAUCUACUCCGCUGGACCCCAACCAUCUUUGGCCCGGGUAACAAAUAGACGCAGAACACAAUGCUGUUAAAGGGUCGGAUUAAAGGGCGUUACACAUCCGGCACCUGGCGGUCUCAGGGUGCAUUUUGGCAGAAUUACACAGUUGAAAUUAUAUUUGAACUUGCGCAAACGGGAAAAAGUGACAGUGACGCAUAUGGGCUCCAAGAAUUGGCUUUUCACACUUUGCGCGAGAACGUGGCGUGAAGUUGGUUUAAGUGGACUUACCUGUGACGCGUGAAGUUUAGGCUGCACGUCAUAGAAACAAACAUUAUUGUCAAUUUUCGCAGGAAAGAGCUCUUGCGGCACAAUAAGAAACAGUAAAAUAAUGAUUCUCGUUUUAUGUAACUGAAUCAUUUAUGUUGUGUAAUUGUAGUAGUUUAAAUUAAGGCCUUUCUUGAUUUCGAGACAUUUCUU